rnacentral:rRNA from 1 species
UACGUAGGUGGCAAGCGUUGUCCGGAUUUAUUGGGCGUAAAGCGAGCGCAGGCGGUUCCUUAAGUCUGAUGUGAAAGCCCACGGCUCAACCGUGGAAGGUCAUUGGAAACUGGGGAACUUGAGUGCAGAAGAGUAGAGUGGAAUUCCAUGUGUAGCGGUGAAAUGCGUAGAUAUAUGGAGGAACACCAGUGGCGAAGGCGGCUUCCUGGUCUGUAACUGACACUGAGGCGCGAAAGCGUGGGGAGCAAACAGGAUUAGAUA